rnacentral:rRNA from 1 species
AACGAACGCUGGCGGCAGGCCUAACACAUGCAAGUCGAGCGCGCCUUCGGGUGAGCGGCGGACGGGUGAGUAACGCGUGGGAAUAUGCCCUUCUCUACGGAAUAGUCCUGGGAAACUGGGGGUAAUACCGUAUACGCCCUUUGGGGGAAAGAUUUAUCGGGGAAGGAUUAGCCCGCGUUGGAUUAGGUAGUUGGUGGGGUAAUGGCCUACCAAGCCGACGAUCCAUAGCUGGUUUGAGGGGAUGAUCAGCCACACUGGGACUGAGACACGGCCCAGACUCCUACGGGAGGCAGCAGUGGGGAAUCUUAGACAAUGGGGGCAACCCUGAUCUAGCCAUGCCGCGUGAGUGAUGAAGGCCUUAGGGUUGUAAAGCUCUUUCAGCUGGGAAGAUAAUGACGGUACCAGCAGAAGAAGCCCCGGCUAACUCCGUG